AUAUUUUGCUCCACUUCACAUGUCUGAGUUGGCCCAUUAUUCUCUUCCACUUCACACACACUCAAACACUUUCUCAAAUUCACAAUCUCGUUCAAGCUUAAGGAUUUCCCUCUCUUCUUCACAUAUGUAUUCGAUUCACCUGAAAUGAAAGUAGAAACCUUGCAAUUUUCAACACCCCCCUCAAGUUGGAAGGGAGGGAACUGAGACCCAACUUGCCGAGCAAGGUUUGAUGAGAAACACUGGAAAGAGGCUUAGUGAAGAGAUCGGCGAGUUGAGAGGAAGCUGGUACAAAAGAGAGUGAAAUCAACCGGCAAGCUACUGUUGUCUAAUGAAGUGACAAUCCAACUCUAUGUGUUUGGUUUGUUCGUGGAAAAUCGGGUUGCGAGCAAUCUGGAUUGCUGCUUGGCUGUCGGAGUACCGGAAUCGAAAUUGUAGGAGGACAACCAAGAUAAGCCAGGUAAACAGGGAGAUGGUUCCGAUCCUUAGGCUGUCUUUUCAGCGCUUGUACAUGAGCACUUCACCUAUUCCGGAGUUGCAAUUUAGCUUGGUAUAAUCCUUUUGUGUACAUUUAGGCAAGGCGGGGUCCUGUCCCGUUCUCAUUAUAUUAUGCACUCCAGUAGAGGCUCGUAGACAAAUAUGUACAGUUAGAUGUUCUAUGACCUUCUCAGUCCAUACUUGUGAUAUCAUUAUUUUGGAUAGCCUUGUCGGCUUGUCUAUUGUGAUUCAGUACAGUUGCGCAUGUAUACAUCCUUUAGGCUUGUGUCUCUUACAGCUUAUGAUAUCUAUCAGUUAGUGCCGUUGCCCA